rnacentral:rRNA from 1 species
UGGGGAAUAUUGCACAAUGGAGGGAACUCUGAUGCAGCGACGCCGCGUGAGUGAUGAAGGAAUUCGUUUCGUAAAACUCUGUUCUAUGGGAAGAAAAGGACUGUACCAUAGGAGAAAGCUCCGGCUAAAUACGUGCCAGCAGCCGCGGUAAUACGUAUGGAGCGAGCGUUGUCCGGAAUUAUUGGGCGUAAAGGGUGCGCAGGCGGCUUUACAAGUUGGAUGUGAAAUAUUGUGGCUCAACCACAAACGUGCAUCCAAAACUGCAAAGCUUGAGUUAAGGAGAGGUAAGUGGAAUACCUGGUGUAGCGGUGGAAUGCGUAGAUAUCAGGAGGAAUACCGGUGGCGAAGGCGACUUACUGGACUUAAACUGACGCUCAGGCACGAAAGCGUGGGGAGCAAACAGG